UACGUAGGGGGCAAGCGUUGUCCGGAUUUAUUGGGCGUAAAGCGCGUGUAGGCGGCCGUGCAAGUCGGGUGUGAAAGCCCUCGGCUCAACCGAGGAAGUGCGCCCGAAACUGCAUGGCUUGAGUACCGGAGAGGAUGGCGGAAUUCCCCAAGUAGAGGUGAAAUUCGUAGAUAUGGGGAGGAACACCGGUGGCGAAGGCGGCCAUCUGGACGGAUACUGACGCUGAGACGCGAAAAGCGUGGGGGAGCAAACAGG
rnacentral:rRNA from 1 species